UACAGAGGUGGCAAGCGUUGUUCGGAUUUACUGGGCGUAAAGGGUGCGUAGGCGGCUCCGCAUGUCGGGUGUGGAAUCCCACGGAUCAUCCGUGGAACGGCAUUCGAAACUGCGGGGCUCGAGGACAGGAGAGGAGGGCGGAAUUCACGGUGUAGCGGUGAAAUGCGUUGAUAUCGUGAAGAACGCCGGUGGCGAAGGCGGCCCUCUGGACUGUUGCUGACGCUGAGGAACGAAAGCUAGGGGAGCAAACAGG
rnacentral:rRNA from 1 species